GGGUCAGUAGCUCAGCGGGUAAGAGCAGCGGUCUCAUACGCCGCGCGCGGAGGUUCGAGUCCUCCCUGACCUA
rnacentral:tRNA from 2 species